rnacentral:rRNA from 1 species
GCGUUGCUCGGAAUGACUGGGCGUAAAGGGCGCGUAGGCGGAUGGCAUAGUCAGACGUGAAAUUCCUGGGCUCAACCUGGGGGCUGCGUUUGAUACGUGUCGUCUAGAGUUUGGAAGAGGGUUGUGGAAUUCCCAGUGUAGAGGUGAAAUUCGUAGAUAUUGGGAAGAACACCGGUGGCGAAGGCGGCAACCUGGUCCUUGACUGACGCUGAGGCGCGAAAGCGUG